AGUGAACGCUGGCGGCGUGCUUGACACAUGCAAGUCGAACGAGAACGGGUUAUAGCUUGCUAUAAUUGUCAGCUAAGUGGCGCACGGGUGAGUAAUGUAUAGGUAAUAUGCCUCUUACUAAGGGAUAACAAAUGGAAACGUUUGCUAAUACCUUAUACUCCUUAUUAACAGAAGUUAAUAAGGGAAAGAUUUAUUGGUAAGAGAUUAGCCUGUAUUGUAUCAGUUAGUUGGUGAGGUAAUGGCUUACCAAGACUAUGACACAUAACUGGUUUGAGAGGAUGAUCAGUCACACUGGAACUGAGACACGGUCCAGACUCCUACGGGAGGCAGCAGUGGGGAAUAUUGCACAAUGGACGAAAGUCUGAUGCAGCAACGCCGCGUGGAGGAUGACACAUUUCGGUGCGUAAACUCCUUUUAUAUGAGAAGAUAAUGACGGUAUUAUAUGAAUAAGCACCGGCUAACUCCGUGCCAGCAGCCGCGGUAACAC
rnacentral:rRNA from 1 species